CAUGCAGUCGAGCGGAACGAGUUAUCUGAACCUUCGGGGAACGAUAACGGCGUCGAGCGGCGGACGGGUGAGUAAUGCCUAGGAAAUUGCCCUGAUGUGGGGGAUAACCAUUGGAAACGAUGGCUAAUACCGCAUAAUACCUACGGGUCAAAGAGGGGGACCUUCGGGCCUCUCGCGUCAGGAUAUGCCUAGGUGGGAUUAGCUAGUUGGUGAGGUAAUGGCUCACCAAGGCGACGAUCCCUAGCUGGUCUGAGAGGAUGAUCAGCCACACUGGAACUGAGACACGGUCCAGACUCCUACGGGAGGCAGCAGUGGGGAAUAUUGCACAAUGGGCGCAAGCCUGAUGCAGCCAUGCCGCGUGUGUGAAGAAGGCCUUCGGGUUGUAAAGCACUUUCAGUCGUGAGGAAGGUAGUGUAGUUAAUAGCUGCAUUAUUUGACGUUAGCGACAGAAGAAGCACCGGCUAACUCCGUGCCAGCAGCCGCGGUAAUACGGAGGGUGCGAGCGUUAAUCGGAAUUACUGGGCGUAAAGCGCAUGCAGGUGGUUUGUUAAGUCAGAUGUGAAAGCCCGGGGCUCAACCUCGGAAUAGCAUUUGAAACUGGCAGACUAGAGUACUGUAGAGGGGGGUAGAAUUUCAGGUGUAGCGGUGAAAUGCGUAGAGAUCUGAAGGAAUACCGGUGGCGAAGGCGGCCCCCUGGACAGAUACUGACACUCAGAUGCGAAAGCGUGGGAGCAAACAGGAUUAGAUACCCUGGUAGUCCACGCCGUAAACGAUGUCUACUUGGAGGUUGUGGCCUUGAGCCGUGGCUUUCGGAGCUAACGCGUUAAGUAGACCGCCUGGGGAGUACGGUCGCAAGAUUAAAACUCAAAUGAAUUGACGGGGGCCCGCACAAGCGGUGGAGCAUGUGGUUUAAUUCGAUGCAACGCGAAGAACCUUACCUACUCUUGACAUCCAGAGAACUUUCCAGAGAUGGAUUGGUGCCUUCGGGAACUCUGAGACAGGUGCUGCAUGGCUGUCGUCAGCUCGUGUUGUGAAAUGUUGGGUUAAGUCCCGCAACGAGCGCAACCCUUAUCCUUGUUUGCCAGCACUUCGGGUGGGAACUCCAGGGAGACUGCCGGUGAUAAACCGGAGGAAGGUG
rnacentral:rRNA from 1 species